AUUGAACGCUGGCGGCAUGCUUUACACAUGCAAGUCGAACGGGGUGGGGGGCAACCCUCAUUCAGUGGCGAACGGGUGAGUAAUGCAUCGGAACGUAUCCCGUAGCGGGGGACAACGCCGCGAAAGCGGCGCUAAUACCGCAUAUGCUCUACGGAGGAAAGUGGGGGGCCUGAAAGGGCCUCACGCUAUGGGAGCGGCCGAUGUCCGAUUAGCUAGUUGGUGGGGUAAUGGCCCACCAAGGCGACGAUCGGUAGCUGGUCUGAGAGGAUGAUCAGCCACACUGGGACUGAGACACGGCCCAGACUCCUACGGGAGGCAGCAGUGGGGAAUUUUGGACAAUGGGGGCAACCCUGAUCCAGCCAUGCCGCGUGCGGGAAGAAGGCCUUCGGGUUGUAAACCGCUUUUAGUCGGGAAGAAAAGGCAUCUCCUAAUACGGGGUGUUCUUGACGGUACCGGCGGAAUAAGCACCGGCUAACUACGUGCCAGCCGCCGCGGUAAGAC
rnacentral:rRNA from 1 species